GACGAACGCUGGCGGCGUGCCUAAUACAUGCAAGUCGAGCGGACCGGAUUGGGGCUUGCCUUGAUUCGGUCAGCGGCGGACGGGUGAGUAACACGUGGGCAACCUGCCCGCAAGACCGGGAUAACUCCGGGAAACCGGAGCUAAUACCGGAUAACACCGAAGACCGCAUGGUCUUCGGUUGAAAGGCGGCCUUUGGGCUGUCACUUGCGGAUGGGCCCGCGGCGCAUUAGCUAGUUGGUGAGGUAACGGCGCACCAAGGCGACGAUGCGUAGCCGGCCUGAGAGGGUGACCGGCUACACUGGGACUGAGACACGGCCCAGACUCCUACGGGAGGCAGCAGUAGGGAAUCUUCCGCAAUGGGCGAAAGCCUGACGGAGCGACGCCGCGUGAGCGAAGAAGGCCUUCGGGUCGUAAAGCUCUGUUGUGAGGGACGAAGGAGCGCCGUUUGAAGAAGGCGGCGCGGUGACGGUACCUCACGAGAAAGCCCCGGCUAACUACGUGCCAGCAGCCGCAGUAA
rnacentral:rRNA from 1 species